UUUGUACUCCCUCCGUCCCAAAAUUCUUGUCUUAAAUUUGUCUAAAUACGGAUGUAUCUAGUUACAUUUUAGUAUUAGAUACAUCCAUAUCUAAACAAAUGUAAGACAAGUAUUUUGGGACGGAGGGAAUACUAC
rnacentral:pre_miRNA from 1 species